rnacentral:rRNA from 1 species
UACGGAGGGUGCAAGCGUUAGUCGGAAUUACUGGGCGUAAAGGGUGCGUAGGCUGUGAUGUAAGUCAGAUGUGAAAAACCAAAGCUCAACUUUGGCAGUGCAUCUGAAACUACAUUACUAGAGGAAUAGCGGAGAAAACGGAAUUCCACGUGUAGCGGUGAAAUGCGUAGAUAUGUGGAAGAACACCUGUGGCGAAAGCGGUUUUCUAGCUUUCUCCUGACGCUGAGGCACGAAAGCAAGGGGAGCAAACAGG